rnacentral:lncRNA from 1 species
ACCUUCCAAGUCUCCUGGGGUUUGCCAAAGCUUUUUCUUAUCUUCCAUGGCUAGGUUGAAGAAGUCUUGAAUUUCUAUCUUUACUUUGUCCAUCAAGGAAGAGCUCACACCAUGGUUUACCAACUGUAACAUAUAUACAUAAUGUCUUAAUGUUGGCCAUGAUUACUUUCUUAAUGCCCUAGUUAGUAUCAAGUAAAAAUACUUGUAUAAUGACAUGAUUAAUUGCCUAAACCUGAAUUCUUGAACUCCUUUUCAUUUAUUUAACAACCGUUGUUUUUUGAAUUUAAACUUAGGACCACGUCUAACAAGGUAAAGAUUUCAAAAAAAAUCCACGAGCAAAUUAACAUAUAUUUAUAGGGACACACUUUUUCUUCUACGCUACUAAUACUUGUACUUGCUCUAUCAAUUCUAACCCAACAUUACCUGCCAAUAACUUCCCAUUGAUGCUAAAUUGUGAUUUAAUUUUCUCAUUAAUUCCUCAAGACAGACAAACGAGUGAAAAAAGUUGUGUACCUG